UGCAAACGUUGCUCGGAAUCAUUGGGCGUAAAGCGCACGUAGGCGGUUCGUUAUGUCGGAUGUGAAAGCCCUUGGCUUAACCGAGGAAGUGCAUCCGAAACUGGCGAGCUAGAGUACGAAAGAGGAUCGCGGAAUUCCCGGUGUAGAGGUGAAAUUCGUAGAUAUCGGGAGGAACACCGGUGGCGAAGGCGGCGAUCUGGGUCGAUACUGACGCUGAGGUGCGAAAGCGUGGGGAGCAAACAGG
rnacentral:rRNA from 1 species